rnacentral:rRNA from 1 species
AAUAUUGGACAUGGGGGGCGACCCUGAUCCAGCCAUGCCUCGUGUGGGAAGAAGGUCUUCGGAUUGAAAAGCACUUUAAGUUGGGAGGAAGGGCUAUAGGUGAAUACCCUGAAGAUUUGACGUUACCAACAGAAUAAGCACCGGCUAACUCUGUGACAGCAGCCGCGGUAACACAGAGGGUGCAAGCGUUAAUCGGAAUUACUGGGCGUAAAGCGCGCGUAGGUGGUUCAGUAAGAUGGGUGUGAAAUCCCCGGGCUUAACCUGGGAACUGCUUUCAUAACUGCUGAGCUAGAGUACGGUAGAGGGUAGUGGAAUUUCCUGUGUAGCGGUGAAAUGCGUAGAUAUAGGAAGGAACACCAGUGGCGAAGGCGACUACCUGGACUGAUACUGACACUGAGGUGCGAAAGCGUGGGGAGCAAAC